rnacentral:rRNA from 1 species
UUGGAGGGCAAGUCUGGGUGCCAGCAGCCGCGGUAAUUCCAGCUCCAAUAGCGUAUAUUAAAGUUGUUGCAGUUAAAAAGCUCGUAGUUGAAUUUCGGGAUCAAUACGUCGGUCGUGCUUUUUUGGUACGCACUGGCGUCAUUGGUUUCUCCUUUCUGACGAACCAUGAUGUCAUUAAUUUGGUGUUAUGGGGAGUUAGGACUGUUACUAUGAAAAAAUUAGAGUGUUUAAAGCAGGCAUUAGCUUGAAUACAUUAGCAUGGAAUAAUGAAAUAGGACGUUCGAUCCUAUUUUGUUGGUUUCUAGGAUCAACGUAAUGAUUAAUAGGGAUAGUUGGGGGCAUUAGUAUUCAAUUGUCAGAGGUGAAAUUCUUGGAUUUAUUGAAGACUAACUACUGCGAAAGCAUUUGCCAAGGAUGUUUUCAUUAAUCAAGAACGAAAGUUAGGGGAUCGAAGACGAUCAGAUACCGUCGUAGUCUUAACCAUAAACUAGGGAUCGGAUGAUGUUAAUUUUUUAAUGACUCAUUCGGCGCCUUACGGGAAAC